AGUGGGGAAUCUUCCGCAAUGGACGAAAGUCUGACGGAGCAACGCCGCGUGAGUGAAGAAGGCCUUCGGGUCGUAAAGCUCUGUCGUUUGGGACGAACGUGUUCUGUGUGAACAAUGCAGAAUAAUGACGGUACCAAAGGAGGAAGCCACGGCUAACUACGUGCCAGCAGCCGCGGUAAUACGUAGGUGGCAAGCGUUGUCCGGAAUUAUUGGGCGUAAAGGGCGUGUAGGUGGAUUUUUAAGUCGUGUGUCUAAGUGCGAAGCUCAACUUCGUAUAGGCGCAGGAAACUGGGAAUCUUGAGUGCAGGAGAGGAAAGUGGAAUUCCCAGUGUAGCGGUGAAAUGCGUAGAUAUUGGGAGGAACACCAGUGGCGAAGGCGACUUUCUGGACUGUGUCUGACACUGAGGCGCGAAAGCUAGGGGAGCGAACGGGAUUAGAUACCCCGGUAGUCCUAGCCGUAAACGAUGGGUACUAGGUGUAGAGGGUAUCGACCCCCUCUGUGCCGGAGUUAACGCAAUAAGUACCCCGCCUGGGGAGUACGGCCGCAAGGUUG
rnacentral:rRNA from 1 species